rnacentral:snoRNA from 13 species
AUUGCAGGCCGGUGAUGAAACUGUCUAGGAAGUGCCGUCUUAGAAACAAUGAUUAUACAUUGGACGCUGAGGCCA